GGGCCCGCACAAGCGGUGGAGCAUGUGGUUUAAUUCGAUGCAACGCGAAGAACCUUACCAGGGCUUGACAUACUACGAAUUCUUUUGAAAAAAAGAAGUGCCUUCGGGAAUGUAGAUACAGGUGGUGCAUGGCUGUCGUCAGCUCGUGUCGUGAGAUGUUGGGUUAAGUCCCGCAACGAGCGCAACCCUUAUUUUUAGUUACCAAUUCGUUGGGUUCUUUAGAAAGACUGCCGGUGACAAACCGGAGGAAGGUGAGGAUGACGUCAAGUCAGCAUGCCCCUUAUGUCCUGGGCUACACACGUGCUACAAUGGUUAAGACAAAGAGUCGCGAGCCUGCAAAGGUCAGCU
rnacentral:rRNA from 1 species